rnacentral:tRNA from 1 species
GAGGGGGUGCCGCAGUGGUCAACCGGGCUGGGUUCAGGACCCAGUGGCUGAGUGCCUACGCGGGUUCGAAUCCCGUCCCCCUCA